GUUAAUGUCCGUAUAUAAUGUAAAUAUUAAUAAAUGUUUUAUCUAUAUAUCUAUCCGUCCGAUCACCGAAGUUAAACAAUGUUGGGGGCGGUUAGUACUUGGAUGGGUGACCGCUUGGGAACACCGCGUGCCGUUGUCU
rnacentral:rRNA from 1 species